GUCUGCCUAGGGGGCUGGCUAGGGCUGCCUAGGGGGCUGGCUAGGGCUGCCUAGGGGCUGGCUGCCUAGGGGCUGGCUAGGGCUGCCUAGGGGCUGGCUAGGGUAGGCUU
ensembl:miRNA mir-4930 miscRNA